CAGAAGACCAGACCGGCAGCUCGCGGGAGACCCGCUCAGCGGCAGAGGACGCAGCCCAGGAGCGGCCGGGGAGAGGGAGCCUCUCCAGAGUCCUGAGGUGCUGGGUCUCAGCCACGGAGCUCACUGACGCCCUGUCCCCCACACUACUCGGGGACUCCCACACGAAGGGAAGAGCUGUACCCCACGGACUCUGGCCCUCCCUCCCUGCGCCAUCUGAACCGACUCCUAGCUUACG
rnacentral:lncRNA from 1 species